UUUCUUUGCAUCUCCAGAUGUAGAGAUGUUCUUCGUUUUCGCACUUGGUCAGCAAAUCGAUAAAUAAGUUAAGUUUUUAUGAUAUUAGGGUUUUUGUGAUUAGUAUUAUCAAUAUCUUAAAAGUUUCUAGUUUGCUUAGAAUACAAUAAUAUAUAUUGAGGUAUAUUAUAUAUAUAUAGAGAGUGUAGUGUGAUGUUUUGCUUCUUCUUAAAUUUGCUUUUAUUCUCCUUCUUUGUUUUUAUUUUGGGAUAAUUUUUGAGUUAGGUGGGUUUGAAUUUGUUUGUGGUAGGGUAUGAUUAAUCAAAUACCCUAUCUCUCUUUUUAUUUUAGUUAAUUAUAUUUUGUCAUUGACUGGUGCUUCCUAACAUUUCAGGCUUGUUAGCUUUGUGCAAUUUUGUUGUUUGUAAUUUUGGUUUGAGUUAAAUUACAAGUUGGAUUAUUGUUUAUACACACUUUAAUUGGUUCUUUUUGUUUUAAGUACG
rnacentral:lncRNA from 1 species